rnacentral:rRNA from 1 species
UACGUAGGGUGCGAGCGUUGUCCGGAAUUACUGGGCGUAAAGAGCUCGUAGGCGGUUUGUCGCGUCGUCUGUGAAAUCCUCCAGCUUAACUGGGGGCGUGCAGGCGAUACGGGCAGACUUGAGUACUACAGGGGAGACUGGAAUUCCUGGUGUAGCGGUGAAAUGCGCAGAUAUCAGGAGGAACACCGGUGGCGAAGGCGGGUCUAUGGGUAGUAACUGACGCUGAGGAGCGAAAGCAUGGGUAGCGAACAGG